AUAGUUGAAGCUGCCAGCAUGAUCUGGAGCUUUUCUAUCCAGGAGAGACUAGAUCAUGUGGCAGUUUCACCUGUUG
rnacentral:pre_miRNA from 1 species